UAAUACGGAGGGUGCAAGCGUUAAUCGGAAUUACUGGGCGUAAAGCGCACGCAGGCGGUUUGUUAAGUCAGAUGUGAAAUCCCCGGGCUCAACCUGGAACUGCAUUUGAAACUGGCAAGCUAGAGUCUCGUAGAGGGGGGUAGAAUUCCAGGUGUAGCGGUGAAAUGCGUAGAGAUCUGGAGGAAUACCGGUGGCGAAGGCGGCCCCCUGGACGAAGACUGACGCUCAGGUGCGAAAGCGUGGGGAGCAAACAGGAUUAGAUACCCUGGUAGUCCACGCUGUAAACGAUGUCGAUUUGGAGGUUGUGCCCUUGAGGCGUGGCUUCCGGAGCUAACGCGUUAAAUCGACCGCCUGGGGAGUACGGCCGCAAGGUUA
rnacentral:rRNA from 1 species